rnacentral:rRNA from 1 species
UACGUAGGGGGCAAGCGUUGUCCGGAUUAUUGGGCGUAAAGAGCGUGUAGGCGGCCGUACAGGUCAGCUGUGAAAACUCGAGGCUCAACCUCGAGACGUCGGUUGAAACCGUACGGCUAGAGUCCGGAAGAGGAGAGUGGAAAUUCCCGGUGUAGCGGUGAAAUGCGCAGAUAUCGGGAAGAACACCCGUGGCGAAGGCGGCUCUCUGGGACGGUACUGGACGCUGAG